rnacentral:tRNA from 1 species
GGCACUGUGGCUGAGCUGUAAAGCGCUUGCCUUCUAAUCCGGAGGUCCCUGGUUCGAAUCCUGGUAAAGACU